rnacentral:rRNA from 1 species
UACGUAGGUGGCAAGCGUUGUCCGGAUUUAUUGGGCGUAAAGCGAGCGCAGGCGGUUCCUUAAGUCUGAUGUGAAAGCCCACGGCUCAACCGUGGAAGGUCAUUGGAAACUGGGGAACUUGAGUGCAGAAGAGGAGAGUGGAAUUCCAUGUGUAGCGGUGAAAUGCGUAGAUAUAUGGAGGAACACCAGUGGCGAAGGCGACUCUCUGGUCUGUAACUGACGCUGAGGCUCGAAAGCGUGGGGAGCAAACAGGAUUAGAUACCCGUGUAGUCC